UAGUAUCAGCGUGCCAGCCGCCGCGGUAAGACGGAGGAUGCAAGCGUUAUCCGGAAUGAUUGGGCGUAAAGCGUCCGCAGGUGGCAGUUCAAGUCUGCUGUCAAAGACCGGGGCUUAACUUCGGAAAGGCAGUGGAAACUGAACAGCUAGAGUAUGGUAGGGGCAGAGGGAAUUCCUGGUGUAGCGGUGAAAUGCGUAGAGAUCAGGAAGAACAUCGGUGGCGAAGGCGCUCUGCUGGACCAUAACUGACACUCAGGGACGAAAGCUAGGGGAGCGAAUGGGAUUAGAUACCCCAGUAGUCCUAGCCGUAAACGAUGGAUACUAGGUGUUGUCUGUAUCGACCCGGACAGUGCCGUAGCUAACGCGUUAAGUAUCCCGCCUGGGGAGUACGCACGCAAGUGUGAAACUCAAAUGAAUUGGCGGG
rnacentral:rRNA from 1 species